CCUACGGGAGGCAGCAGUGAGGAAUAUUGGUCAAUGGACGAGAGUCUGAACCAGCCAAGUAGCGUGAAGGAUGACUGCCCUAUGGGUUGUAAACUUCUUUUAUAUGGGAAUAAAAUGUUCCACGUGUGGGAUUUUGUAUGUACCAUAUGAAUAAGGAUCGGCUAACUCCGUGCCAGCAGCCGCUGUAAUAUGGUGGAUCCGAGCGUUAUCCGGAUUUAUUGGGUUUAAGGGGAGCGUAGGUGGAGUGUUAAGUCAGUUGUGAAAGUUUGCGGCUCAACCGUAAAAUUGCAGUUGAUACUGGCAGUCUUGAGUACAGUAGAGGUGGGCGGAAUUCGUGGUGUAGCGGUGAAAUGCUUAGAUAUCACGAAGAACUCCGAUUGCGAAGGCAGUUCACUGGACUGCAACUGACACUGAGGCUCGAAAGUGUGGGUAUCAAACAGGAUUAGAUACCCUUGUAGUC
rnacentral:rRNA from 1 species